rnacentral:rRNA from 1 species
AUUGAACGCUGGCGGCAUGCCUAACACAUGCAAGUCGAACGGCAGCACGGGAGCAAUGCUGGUGGCGAGAGGCGAACGGGAGAGUAUUAUAUCGGAACGAGCACAGUCGUGGGGGCUAACGUAGCGAAAGCUACGCUAAUACAGAAUACGCUCUAAGGACGACAGAGGGGGACCGCAAGACCUCGCGCGCUUGGAGAGCCCGAUAUCGGAUUAGGUAGUUGGUGAGGUAAAGGCUCACCAAGCCGACGAUCUGUAGCUGGUCUGAGAGGACGACCAGCCACACUGGGACUGAGACACGGCCCAGACUCCUACGGGAGGCAGCAGUGGGGAAUUUUGGACAAUGGGCGCAAGCCUGAUCCAGCAAUGCCGCGUGCAGGAUGAAGGCCUUCGGGUUGUAAACUGCUUUUGUACGGAACGAAACGGCGAGCUCUAAUACAGUUUGCUAAUGACGGUACCGUAAGAAUAAGCACCGGCUAACUACGUGCCAGCAGCCGCCGUAA